AGCGCUGACGACCUCCACCCAUAUCCCUCUCUUCCUCCUGGCCAACAACAAGAUCACGCAGUGGCCCAACAUCUCCCCAUCGCCAUGACCUAAAUCCUGCCUUCAUGGAUUGUAGAUCAAGAGGAUCGGGGGAGCAACACCACCAGCGACCCUCUCCGGAUAUGAGGAUCUGUCGCCCAUUUGCGCCCCUCCCCAGAUCCCCACACCUUCAAUCCGGCCACCAUGACCAGGAAAGAGAGGGGAAAGAGGAGACCAUCAAGAGCCGAGCAACGUCGAACGGUUUAGGGGAACGAUGGAGAAUUGUCUAGUAUCCACCAGAUCGAGAUUCGACACUGCAGAUCCGAGUCAGAUGUGAAAACUUUCUCGUCUUGGGGAGUUGAUUAUCUGAAGUACGACAACUGCAAUAAUGGUGGCAGGAAUAUGGUGGAAAGAUAUACUAAGAUGAGCAACGCCAUCAGGAAAUACGGGAAGAACAUCUUCUUCUCACUCUGGGAACAUC